rnacentral:snoRNA from 1 species
AUACCAUGAUGAGGACAUCCUCUGAGUAAUUCCUUGAAUCUUUCCCAUGCAUUAUACAAGCUUUCAUCUUCAAGUUGA